GUGGCUUUCAAGGUAUCCCCAUGGUAUUUCAAGGUAUUCCCUUGGGACCAGUGACAUUGUUAGUUCGUGCUUUUAUAGAAUGUAAAUUCUCAGGCUCCACCCAGACCUAUGGAAUCAGAAAGGGGUGGACUAAUCUAUUCAACAAGUCUAAGUGAAAGCAACCUUCAACGUGAAGUGCAUGUGCCUUACCAUUCUCUUUAUUAUUUUAGACACAGUUCUCACCAUCAGUAGAGCCCCAAAGAAUGCACGAGGCAGAGACAUCUGGAAGAAUUCCAUUUAUUGUGGAUGCAUUUUCACAAUAUAUUUUUAUUGCAGCGAUCAAUUAUCAGUGAAAAAUAUUAAGUGUUUAUAACGUUUUUAACAAUGGCAGAUUCACAGAACAUGCUAGUCAGCUUGCAGUUUCCUCUCUUAAAGAUAACAGAGAGCUGUAAUCAGACAAGUAAAUGAGGAAUUUGCUUCUUCAAAG